UGCCUGGACCCCCCCCUGGGGCUCCCACGACUGCGGGAGAGCCCCCUCACCCCCGGUCCACCCAACCGAGGAACGUGCCGAAUAUUGGACGCUCCGAGUGCUGGGGGGGCGGGGGUCCAAAGCACGCCGAGGGGGCUCGGAUGGCCCUGAGCCCCGCCGCGGGGCCGAAGCCUCCGGAUGCUAGGGCUCCGACCCCGACCCCCUUGCGCCCCGAGCCGCCUCUGUAAAGCCCGCAGACGUAGCCCGAGAGUGCGGGCCCGCGUUCGGGGCACCAAGGUCACCUGCCCAGGCUCCUGCCAGCACACGUGUCACUAGUUUGCAAGAAGGUCCCUUCGCUGCAGCCAACCUGCCCCGACGUCUGAGCGAAGAAAGCGAGAGGCGUUGCACGUGGGCCUCUGCGGUUAGCGGAGAAGCACGCCGACCACUGACAGCCCUCGACUGGCGACCCUGCCACCUGUGGCGGUCCCCACGCGUAAUACGGGAAGUGGGAAAAAUCAUGACGCUGGCCUCAGGGCCGCCGAAGCCUUCGUCCAUCUGUGCCACGUGUCCAGCGGGUAGGCUGACGCAGCAGCAUGGUCUGGGUGCCGGAAAUCGGCCGUGACCAGAGAGCCUGUCCUCAUGGCGUCUCUGAUCGAGCGGAGAAAGAAAACCCGUAGAAUGAAUGUGCCAGAACCCGACGCGGGGUGGUGUAACUGGAGGCGGAGAGGAGGGGACGCUGCAGCAGGCGCGUCGUGCGGGCGGCGGGGGGCGGUCUCCCUGGCAAGGUGGCGGUCAAGCGCAGGCUGGCAGCGGCGAGGGAGAGCACUGCAGGCCGAGAGGCCCCGGCGCAGCAAGGCGCCUCGGGCCGCCUGGGAGCCACGUGGGCUCGC